rnacentral:rRNA from 1 species
AGUGGCGAACGGGUGCGUAACACGUGAGAAACCUGCCCCGAUCUCUGGGAUAACAGUUGGAAACGACUGCUAAUACCGGAUGCCGUCACACCGCUUCAUGGCGGAGUGCCGAAAGAUUUAUCGGAUCGGGAGGGUCUCGCGGCCUAUCAGCUAGUUGGAGAGGUAACGGCUCACCAAGGCAUCGACGGGUAGCUGGUCUGAGAGGAUGAUCAGCCACACUGGGACUGAGACACGGCCCAGACUCCUACGGGAGGCAGCAGUGGGGAAUCUUGCACAAUGGGCGAAAGCCUGAUGCAGCAACGCCGCGUGCGGGAAGAAGGCCCUAGGGUUGUAAACCGCUUUCAGUAGGGAAGAAAAUGACGGUACCUACAGAAGAAGGUGCGGCCAACUACGUGCCAGCAGCCGCGGUGACACGUAGGCACCAAGCGUUAUCCGGAUUUAUUGGGCGUAAAGAGCUCGUAGGCGGUUUGGUAAGUCGGGUGUGAAAACUCUGGGCUCAACCCAGAGACGCCACCCGAUACUGCUAUGACUAGAGUACGGUAGGGGAGCGGGGAAUUCAUGGUGUAGCGGUGAAAUGCGCAGAUAUCAUGAGGAACACCAGCGGCGAAGGCGCCGCUCUGGGCCGUAACUGACGCUGAGGAGCGAAAGCAUGGGUAGCAAACAGGAUUAGAUACCCUGGUAGUCCAUGCCGUAAACGUUGGGCACUAGG